rnacentral:lncRNA from 10 species
CCUACUUGUCCUCCAUCUUGUGGCUAUUCUCGGCCUAGAGUUUCAUGUUGUCUGUCUUCUAGAAAGGUGUGCUGCUGGGCCCAGCUCACUCACGCCUGUAAUCUCAACACUUUGGGAGGCCGAGGCGGGUGGAUCACGAGGUCAGGAGUUCAAGACCAGCUUGUCCAAGAUGGUGAAACCCCGUCUCUACUAAAAAUACAAAAGAUUUAGUCGGGCGCGGUGGCAGGCGCCUGUAAUCCUAGCUAGUCGGGAGACUGAGGCAGGCGAAUCGCAUGAACCCGGCGGCAAAGGUUACAGUGAGCCGAGAUCGCGCCACUGCACCCCACCCUGGGUGACAGAGUGAGACUGUCUCAAGAAAAAAAAGAAAGGUGUGCUGUUUUCUGAGCCCUUCCCCACGUUUCGCCCGGAUUAUUGUGGCUUACUUUGGGUAUAGCAUUGAACAUUAAAUGGGACAGUGGGUCUUUUACGCUUUUGUAAUUUCCUGCAGCACACAAAUAGAUGUCUCAUAUUUUCUCGCUUAUUAGCUGGGAAAAAUCACGAGAUACUCCACUACCUACAAGGAAAAAGCCUAAAAUUGUUGGGAUGGCAUACAGGAACCUUACCAGUUUUGUACUACUAUCGUCAACAUGCUUUAAUUUACCCUUGCUUUAACACUGCCCCCUCUCCCGUCUCCUGCCUCUGGAGCCCGCCACUUGGAGCAUCACCUCCCUCACUUUUCCUUUGCACUGACUGGAAUAAUUACUGCAUCACAUGAUGAAAGUCUUUUAUUGUUUCAUCAGGGCGCAAUGCAGACGCAGUGCAGGCGUGACCUCUCCUGCCCAGCCUCUCCCUGGCACUUGACAUCCUGUUGACAUCCGUCUCCCCUCUAAACUAAGGAAUGCGAGUGGUAUUUAUUUUUAUAUCCGCAGCAGCUCAGUUCCCACUAAAAAUAUCUAAUACUUACUGAGCUCUAUGUGUCAGUCACCAAGCACUUUACACGUAGAAUUGCAUUUGAUCUUUUAAAAUGAUUAUUUCUAAUUUUAUUUUUAAACGUGUCUUGCUCUGUCAUCCAGGUUGGAGUAACGUGGCAUGAUUAUAGCCCACUGCAUCCUCAAACUCCUGGGCUAAAGCCAUUUUUUUUUUGAGACGGUGUCUCGCUCUGUUGCCCAGGCUGGAGUGCAAUGGCGCAAUCUCGACUCACUGCAGCCUCUGCCCUCCGGGUCCAAGCAACUCUCCUGCCUCAGCCUCCCCAGUAGCUGAGAUAAUAGGCGCCCACCACCACGCCUGGCUAAUUUUUGUAUUUUUAGUUGAGACAGGGUUUUGCCAUGUUGGUCAGGCUGGUCUUGAACUCCUGACCUCAGGUGAUCCACCCGCCUCGGCCUCCCAAAGUGCUGGGAUUACAGGUGUGAGCCAGCGUGCCUGGCCUA